rfam:Ictidomys tridecemlineatus contig015104, whole genome shotgun sequence.
GGGGUUGUGGCUCAGUGGUAGAGCGCUUGCCUAGCAUGUGUGAGGCCCUGAGUCCGAGUCUCAGGACCACA